UUUGAGAGGGAAAUUUGAAACAUGGAGGGGGAAAUGAAAAUUUUUUGCGACAAAAAAAAUUUGGUCGCCAUUUAUAAAACAACGUCGUUUUGUACCCACUCCCCCUAAAAAUUUGGUCGCCAUUUCUAAGUGUUGCCAUUUAUGAACCCUAAACCGCUGCCCCCUUCCAACUCUCUCUCUCUUUCUCUCUCUCUCUGUCUCUAAUGGAGAAUGGGGACGAGUGGUUGGUCCCCGAAUAAGCUACAACACAUUCUCUUCUGCUUCUCCAUCACCAUUAUUUUCUCUCUCCUCGCUUCCCUAACUCGCUAUUCUUUCCUCUGCCGCCGGACCAUCUGGUUCGGAUCCAUCAUCUCCCUCUCCGCCGGUGCUGCCAAAGAGGUCGCCGACGAGCUUGGCUUCUUCAAGUCGGCCGGAGCCUCCUCCAAAGACACUGUUGCUGAUCUCCUUGGCAUUCUUCUCGCUGUGCUCAUUCUUUCUCUCACGAAAUCACUCUCCCUGCGGAUCAAACCCGAUCAAUCGGGUCAAAUUUGAGGGGUCGAGAUAGUUUGAUCGAUGGCUUGGGUUCCAGUUUGUGUGAUCGAGCAUUUUGGAGUGAUCAGUGAUGGUUGGUGGAUCAAUACCUUAUCGUGUGCUCAAUGUGGCCAAAAGGGCUCAUCUUCAGUAUGAUAUUAUAUUUAUGUAUUAUCUUCGAUUUUAUUCGCAACCAUACAUUAUACAUUACAUACACACACAAGCACAGUUCAAUGUAUACUUGGAUUGGGAUGUUUUUUGUUUUACAAUGUUGAGCAAUCAAUAAACAAUUAGGGCAUUUAGGAGGAUUGAUGGAUUUUUUAUUACUCAGAAAUUAACUUGUGGAGACCCUUUUUCUUACCUCCCUUGAUAUUUGAGAAAAAUAUAGUUAGCGUAAUUGCACUCAACCUCCCUUUUGGUACAGUUGAGCAUGCUAUUUUUGUACAUCUGUUUAAUUUGGAUUACCUAUCAUUCAUUAGUUAUUUUCAUUUUGGUAAUGGUUUUGUAACUCUCUUCCAGGUAAAUCAACCCUUUAGUCUUACUAGACUUCUGUCACUCCAAGUUUUCAAAAUUUGUAAAGUCUUACGUCUCAUGAACGAUUAAAGUGGAAGCUGAAAGUUUUAUUCAAUAAGUGAUUAUUAAAUUUAUAAAAUUGAUGAUCCUUGGGGCAACAGAAACACCAUUAUUAACUUUCAUGUUUUCAACCUCUGUGCUAAUUUUUUUUUUGUGACUGGUAAUGUUGUCACAAAAGGGUAGUGAUGAGGUUGCAAACACUCUUAUACUGCCAGCUUUCUUCUAGUAUUUGAGGUCCUUUUUCCUGUUUGGUAUGCAAGUGAUUUAUGCUUUUUAUUUUCCCCAGUUGCCAAGAUCACAUUGCCCUGAAUUCAAAUUUGAUGAAUAAAGAGCUAAAAGUGAGCUACAUUGCCCUGAAUUACAACAGCCCAACAGUCAGACCAAACACAAUGCCUCGAAUUAAAGCUCACUUUUAGCUCUUUAUUCAUCAAAUUUGAAUUUGAUGGAUGAAAGAAUUGGUGAAGGUCUGGUGACUGAUUAAUUAGAGGGCAGAUGGUAUGGAUGUCAUGGUAUUGACUCUUCAAUGUUUUCUGUUCUCCAAAUGUGGUUUUUGCAAAUAUAUUAUUUUUGGGAUCUGUCUCUUAAUCUUGCAGCAGAGACCAUGGGAACACAACAUCACUUGGAGGAUAGUGGGAUAUGAGGCUUUGACUACACUAUAUUCCCAUACUUCCGACAGCUUUAAGUUUCCAGUGUGUUAGAGUGCUUAUCAUGUUGGAGGCUUGCAGCAAUCAAAUUUAUGCACAUAAACACAGUUAAUCACGUAGUUCAAAAACAAAAAUGUACACCAAUUUGUAGUGUAGUAAGAAAUGACUAGUAAUCAAACACAAGUAUUUUUUCUUGGCCAAAUUACUAUGUUGGGUGGAGAACUAUGAACAGAUGAGACCAAAGUAACAUAAACCUACAACGCUUGAGCUCUUGAAGCCCUUGUUCCAGAUUGGUCAACACCAUCUUGCACUCUUCUUGGCCUGCAAUUAAUGGUGGUAUGGAUUAAUAACUUAAUUCCUGUCAUGUACAGUUAAAUAAUGUACUUUUGGAUGCGGACUUUAUUGCUUUUCUUCUGCAUGUAUCAACAUAUAUUUUUUAGCGCAUAUGCUCUACCAAAAUUUUAGUGAACUUGAAUGUUUGCAAUGUAAGCUUGUUGCAGGGUUAAAUAAUGGUUUUUAAUAAAUUUAAAAAUCCGAAGAGUUUAAAUUAGUGGGAAACAACUUGUCAAGCUGCAGGAUGAUAUACAUUUUUAAUACUAAAUGCCUGCUUUAGCCACCAAUUAGGCAGGCAACUCAUAGUUGAUAUAGCAGAUGAAUAUGCAUUUGUUGGUCCUUUUGCUGAUUAAAUUGAGCAGUAGAAAUAUAUAUGAAAAGACUCCAUUUUUUAUCAAACAGUUUAUUUGGGUUUGUCUUGAGAUUGGGUGGGUCUCUUAGUGCUUUUGUCUUCCAAAUCUGUAAACCAGUUAUUGUUGUUUAUUCUAUAACUCUUUUUAUUUUCUAAUUUUUUUUUUAUCAAUUUGCCCCCCCUCAUCUUUUCCUGGGGAUAAGUUGGUUAGCCUGUGCACCUAUGAUUAUUGUUAAAACCUUUUUCAUUCUUGUCUGGUUGAUUCUGCCAUCAUCCUUCUUCCAGCCUGCAUCAGCCUUGUUGACAUCAAUGUUGAGGAAACUCUGAACACUCAAAUAUGCUAAUCGUGCUCGAAACAUUCAGAAUAAGCCUGUUUUAACAGAGAUGUUAUGUCGAAUGAGAUGCAAAAUAUGCGGCAGCAGCUAGAGUACUUGCAGGCUGAACUUAAUAACGAG